UACGGAGGGUGCAAGCGUUAUCCGGAAUCACUGGGUUUAAAGGGUGCGUAGGCGGUGGCGUAAGUCAGUUGUGAAAUCCCCGGCUUAACCGGCGGGACUGCGAUUGAUACUGCGUUACUUGAAUCAGGUUGAGGUAGGCGGAAUGUGACAUGUAGCGGUGAAAUGCUUAGAUAUGUCAUAGAACACCGAUUGCGAAGGCAGCUUGCUGGACCUGUAUUGACGCUGAGGCACGAAAGCGUGGGGAGCAAACAGG
rnacentral:rRNA from 1 species